rnacentral:ncRNA from 1 species
AACAAAUUUGGUCCUAGUCUUCAUUUUAACUCCCUUUUUAUUUGAUACAUGCAAGCUAUACAAGCACCACCGUGAAUACCCUACAAUUCUCCAUUUUAAUCUACCUUAAAACGAUAUCAGUAUUAAUAUCUCCAAUAUUAAACUACUACAUCUAGAAUAAAUUCCACAACUGCAGUACUUAACAUUUUACAAUAAAUAAAAAUUUGAUAUAGUAAAAAAAACAAGAGUUGGUAAAUUAUGUGCCAGCCACCGCGGUUAUACAUAAAACUCCAGUUAAAACUUUUGGUAUAAAAGGUGGUUUAACAAUUGUAUUACUUUAAGACUAACAUAUCACUUCAGUAGUAAAAAGCUAACAGAAAUUUAAAUCCAUCAUAAAUCUUAAACCUUUUGAAGCCACGAAAACUCCCCAAUAAACUGGGAUUAGAUACCCCAUUAUAUGAGUAAUUAAAUAAAACAAAAUACCAGAGAACUACAAACCUAAUUUUAAAACUCAAAGGACUUGGCGGUUUUUUAAACCUUCCUGAAGGAGCUUGCCAUUUAACCCGAUAACCCUCGUUAUACCUCACCAAUCUUUGUAACUACCAACUUGUAUACCAUCGUCGUCAGUCUACCUUCCAAAAGAAAGUUUACCCAAUUGAAUCUUCUUCAAAACGUCAGAUCGAGGUGCAGUCUAUAGAUUGGCAAUGAGUGAGCUACAAUAAUUAUACUAACCCCUUAAAAUCAAUUAUGGAAAAAUUAAUGAAAAAAAAAUCUAAAUCGAAUUCAGAAGUAAUGAAAAAAAGAAAAUUUUCAUGAAACUCAGCUCUAAAAUACGUACACAUCGCCCGUCACUCUCCUCUAAACACAAAAAGGAGAAAAGUCGUAACAAAGUAGGCGUAUUGGAAAAUGUGCCUGGAAUUAA